rnacentral:rRNA from 1 species
UACGAAGGGGGCUAGCGUUGCUCGGAAUCACUGGGCGUAAAGCGCACGUAGGCGGAUUGUUAAGUCAGGGGUGAAAUCCUGGAGCUCAACUCCAGAACUGCCCUUGAUACUGAGGAUCUCGAGUUCGGGAGAGGUGAGUGGAACUGCGAGUGUAGAGGUGAAAUUCGUAGAUAUUCGCAAGAACACCAGUGGCGAAGGCGGCUCACUGGCCCGAUACUGACGCUGAGGUGCGAAAGCGUGGGGAGCAAACAGGG